GAUGAACGCUGGCGGCGUGCCUAAUACAUGCGAGUCGAGCGAACGGACGAGAAGCUUGCUUCUCUGAUGUUAGCGGCGGACGGGUGAGUAACACGUGGAUAACCUACCUAUAAGACUGGGAUAACUUCGGGAAACCGAAGCUAAUACCGGAUAAUAUUUUGAAACGCAUGGUUCAAAAGUGAAAGACGGUCUUGCUGUCACUUAUAGAUGGAUCCGCGCUGCAUUAGCUAGUUGGUAAGGUAACGGCUUACCAAGGCAACGAUGCAUAGCCGACCUGAGAGGAUGAUCGGCCACACUGGAACUGAGACACGGUCCAGACUCCUACGGGAGGCAGCAGUAGGGAAUCUUCCGCAAUGGGCGAAAGCCUGACGGAGCAACGCCGCGUGAGUGAUGAAGGUCUUCGGAUCGUAAAACUCUGUUAGUAGGGAAGAACAUAUGUGUAAGUAACUGUGCACAUCUUGACGUUACCUAAUCAGAAAGCCACGGCUAACUACGUG
rnacentral:rRNA from 1 species